CAAAAAUCCAUGCUCUGGAAGUCAGAGGGUGUAACUGAAGAUGAAAUAGUCAUUUGGAGAAAAUCAGAAUUAGAGACUGGUAUUAUUUGUUUUAGACAAUAUUUAUCUAUUUAUUUUUUCUAUUAAUUUGAUUGAAUUAAGGAGAACAAUAUUGAUUUUUUUACAUGCGUUUUGUCCAUUUAGACCUUGAGGCUUAAAGAGACGAGGCUUGCUUAAAGUCACACAGAUAGUAAGAGGCAGAUAAGAAAUCUCGCCUUGAGUUAUUUGAUUUCCAUGCCUAGGUCUCAUCCGCUGAGCAGUGCCUCCUCCCGAUUCAGCACGUCCCUGGUGCCGACUUUCUGCACGUGUUCACUUUGAGGCUGCAUUGUGGGCCUGCAAGAAAUGCAAAGCUGGUUGAGGCUUUAUUCAAUUCAAAUUCAAGCUGUUAAAUCGAGGCUCUCAGACUCCUGCUGCCUGGCCAGUGGAGAAAUUAACUUUCACAUAUGGCUUUGGGAUUUCUCUCUGUCAUCCUGGUCGACGUGUUCUCUCAUUUUUCUGAAGUCUGGGACCUCAACACAGACAUCUGGGUGAAGGCCUUGACAGCAGCGCUGGUGCAAAAUGAAUUGUCACAUCACACCCAACGUUCUCAACCUUUAGAAUCUGAAAGUAAGAAAAACACCUCAAACAAAACAUUAAAGAUUGAAUAAUUGAAGGCACUAUGCUUGGUGCUGAAGAAGGUCUAAGGAGGUCUACACCACAGAGGCUGCACCCACUCCUCAGCCUUGCUGAGCCACACCAUUCUCAUCUCUACAGCAUCCACCUCUCUUGGCUCUUGUAAGGAUUGAGACAUGCCACCAGGCUUACUAUUGAUUCUGAGUAAUCAGCACAGAUUUCUAAAAGAAACUUUAUGGGAUGCUGAGACAUGAAUAAAAACAACUUUAUUCCUUUGGAAAGGACAACCCACAUGCUAAGAAGAUGACACUACACGUUGUUAUAGCCCGAAAGGCCCUCUUUCCACAGGGGAGCAGUGAAAAGUAGAGGUUGCCCAUGUGGAUUCCCAAGUCAGAUAGAUGUGGAUUCAGAUCCCAGCUCUGCUGCUUGCUACCCAAGAGACCAUGGACUGUGGACUCUUUAGGUCUCAGGGUUUUUGUUUGUUGUCUGUUUUUCACUUCCAAAACCAGAAAAUGAGAAGAUAUUUUCCAUAAGAUGGCGGUGGAGAAGAGAACUUGAUGGACCUUGCUUGGACAAAAUGCCUUCACCGCUAACUCAGUCAGCUAUGGCGAUGGGUCAAGGACCUGGUGGUUUUACAGAGAAGACCCUUGGUCAAAUCUUUGUGAAUGAAGCAACCAUUCUGAUGUUCAAUAACAGGAAUGCACCAGUUUAUACCAAACUAUCUGUACUAUUGAGAACAGCAAAAAUAUCUGACCAAAAACACCAAAGAGUGACAUUUUAAAAGACAUCAAAGAACUCUCAAGGCUUCCAGAGUUGGAAAGAUCAAGAAAGAGAGAAUGCAACUUCAUUAAGUGACUCAACUCCAAAUAGGAGCAUUUCAAGAGUAUGUAUUUCAACAAAGAAGUAUUAGAAGAUGACAGUGUCCUUGCAGUAUCUUUUAGGGGCUAUCAGAACAUGAUUUCUGCUAUAUUCUAUCAUCGGAGCCUUAAUAAUGUUAACUAUAAUUCAAGGGAAGAUCAAAUAAACUUCACCUUUCAAGGAAAGGAGUAACAGAGAAUGUGCAGGCAUUUUUAUACACCAUUGACAUGGAAAAAAAAGUCCUUCAAGGAUUUCCA
rnacentral:lncRNA from 1 species